CCCAAAAGAUCGAAUGGAAAGAUUCAUCGUCAAUAUGUUUAAUAUUUAUAAAUAUUAUGAUGUAAAUUUUUUUUUUGACUUUAUUGUUGAUUAAAAAAUUUAUACAUAUAUUUAUUAAUUUAUUGUUUUACAUUGUCGGCGUGCACUUCUUUCCUAGUAGGACAUCGCGACCCGUUGGGUAUUGAUCUACGGCCAAAUUGGGUAGCCUUUAAUCGUUAAAACAUUAAAGACCAAUUUGUGUUUUCCUGAUCAAUUGCCCGGCGGUAUUCGUAUGGUAUUGAGUCGCAUUGAUUAUAAUUUGCGUCCUCCACCCAUCACAAGCGAGGCCAGUUAAUAAUAUAAAUUUUAUUUAUAUUAUUUUGCUUGGUAGUGCGGACCUAGUGCCGUCAUCAAGCCUGGCCAGCUGUUGGUAUUUGUAUGGUGUUCUGGGACUGACUUAAAAUAUAAUAAUACCGGUCGGCGAUGCUACUGCUUUGGGUACUUUCAGGACCCGUCUUGAAACACGGACCAAGGAGUCUAACAUGUGCGCAAGUCAUUGGGAUUUUUUUAAUUAAAAAAAUUAAACCUAAAGGCGUAAUGAAAGUAAAGAUUAUCUUUAUGAUAAUUUAGGGAGGAUGUUUUAUAUUACGAUAUAAAACCGCACUCCCGGGGCGUCUCAUUCUUAUUUUAUA
rnacentral:rRNA from 1 species